GGGCUCGUAGUAUAGUGGCUAUUACGUCCCGUUGACGUCGGGAAGGUCACCAGUUCGAAUCUGGUCGGGCCCA
rnacentral:tRNA from 1 species